GUUGACCUCGGAUCAGGUAGGAAUACCCGCUGAACUUAAGCAUAUCAAUAAGCGG
rnacentral:rRNA from 7 species